AGUGAACGCUGGCGGUAGGCCUAACACAUGCAAGUCGAACGGCAGCACAGUAAGAGCUUGCUCUUACGGGUGGCGAGUGGCGGACGGGUGAGGAAUACAUCGGAAUCUACUUUUUCGUGGGGGAUAACGUAGGGAAACUUACGCUAAUACCGCAUACGACCUACGGGUGAAAGCAGGGGAUCUUCGGACCUUGCGCGAUUGAAUGAGCCGAUGUCGGAUUAGCUAGUUGGCGGGGUAAAGGCCCACCAAGGCGACGAUCCGUAGCUGGUCUGAGAGGAUGAUCAGCCACACUGGAACUGAGACACGGUCCAGACUCCUACGGGAGGCAGCAGUGGGGAAUAUUGGACAAUGGGCGCAAGCCUGAUCCAGCCAUACCGCGUGGGUGAAGAAGGCCUUCGGGCUGUAAAGCCCUUUUGUUGGGAAAGAAAAGCAGCAGGUUAAUACCCCGCUGUUCUGACGGUACCCAAAGAAUAAGCACCGGCUAACUUCG
rnacentral:rRNA from 1 species